CAAAAUCAACGUCACUGCUGUCGCUGCCACAACACUGCACCACCACCAAAAAAUCUCCAAACUCGAUGUCGCGUUGUGACCACCACCAACUCACUGCCUGUUUCAACAUUCACUAACACAACCAAUUUAAAUCAACCAUUUCCUUCUCAUCUACCAAAAAACAACUAGCACCACUAACAUCACCAUCGCCUCAAAGCAUGGCAAACACCACCACCACAACUGCACACAGCCAACAAAACCUCAACCAAAAAUUUUCAGCACCACCAGAUUUUCCCCAAAUUUUUUGGUUGAGUGGCCGCAGUCGCGAUUAGAUCUUGACCAAAAUUUCCCUAAAUUUUUCGGUCUGAGCAGCCGCUGCGCAGUGCCGCUCACACUGCAAGCAGCUACGACGCGUCAUCGGAGCAGUGACAUUUGCAGCGACUUCCGAUGAAAGUUUUCCGGUAGUCGAGAUAUUGAAAAGAGAUAGAAAAAUGUGAAAGAGAGAGAGGAAUAUGGGUUAGGUGGGAUUACUGGCGUUUUUCUUCAGGCAAUAGAGAGAGAGAGAGUGAGACGAU
rnacentral:lncRNA from 1 species